rnacentral:rRNA from 1 species
UACGUAGGGGGCUAGCGUUGUCCGGAUUUAUUGGGCGUAAAGAGCGUGUAGGCGGCCAGGUAGGUCUGGUGUGAAAACUCGAGGCUUAACCUUGAGAUGUCAUCGGAAACCAUCUGGCUAGAGUCCGGGAGAGGAGAGUGGAAUUCCUGGUGUAGCGGUGAAAUGCGCAGAUAUCAGGAAGAACACCCGUGGCGAAAGCGGCUCUCUGGAACGGUACUGACGCUGAGACGCGAAAGCGUGGGGAGCGAACAGG